CCUCCUCCGAUUCCCACAAUUCUGCCCGCAGCUAAGAUGGCGGCGAUAGUAAAUAGCUGCGUGAGAUGCUUUCUCCGGUUGCCCUGCAACUGGCAUUACAGCUCUUUCCAAUCUCGCUCAACUGCCUCCUUGUCCUCCGCGCACGUGCGCCAGAUGUUCCUCCAGUUCUUCCAGGAGCGGCACGCGCAUCAAGUCGUUCCCUCGGCUUCUGUGAGGCCGCGAAACGAUCCCGGGCUGCUGUUCGUGAACGCGGGAAUGAACCAGUUCAAACCCAUCUUCCUGGGCACAGCAGAUCCUCAAAGUGAGCUUAAACGUUACCGCCGAAUUGUGAACACCCAGAAGUGUGUGCGGGCAGGUGGAAAGCACAAUGAUUUGGAGGAUGUGGGUCGAGAUGUUUAUCAUCAUACUUUCUUUGAAAUGCUUGGGAACUGGUCCUUUGGUGAUUAUUUCAAAGAGGAAGCAUGUAAGAUGGCAUGGGAGCUCCUGACACAUGUCUAUGAAAUUCCAAAGGACCAGCUUUAUGUCACUUACUUUGAAGGUGAUGUUUCACUUGGUUUAACUGCUGAUGAAGAGUGUAGGGAUAUAUGGCUUACACUUGGCGUGCCCCCUAGCCAUGUUCUUCCUUUUCACCUGAAAGAUAACUUCUGGGAGAUGGGGGACACUGGUCCCUGUGGGCCCUGCACAGAAAUCCAUUAUGAUCAUAUAGGGGGUGGAAGAAAUGCAGCAGCGCUCGUGAAUCAGGGCUGUCCUGAUGUGGUGGAGAUCUGGAAUCUCGUUUUCAUACAGUACAAUAGAGAGGCCAAUGGGAGUUUGCGCCAUCUGCCUCAGCAUCAUGUGGACACCGGAAUGGGCUUAGAAAGGUUGAUGACUGUUCUUCAAAACAAACGCUCCAAUUAUGACACUGACCUCUUCACCCCAAUCCUGGAUGCCAUUCAUAAGGGCUGUGGUGGACCUGGUUACCAAGGCUUGGUUGGCGAGACUGACCCAGGGGGAAUGAACAUGGCAUACAGAGUAGUGGCAGAUCACGUGCGUGCUUUAUCUGUAUGCAUUGCGGACGGGAUUUUCCCAGGCAUGGCUGGUGCCGAGCUUGUUCUGCGUCAUAUCUUGCGCAGGGCUGUGCGAUUUUCUUCAGAGGUUCUCCAUGCUCCACCCGGGUUCUUGGCGAGUUUGGUUCCUGUUGUGGUAGAAAUUCUGGGAGAUGCUUAUCCAGAACUAAAGAGGGACCCAGACAAGAUUAUGAAUAUCAUCAAUGAAAAUGAAGCAGCAUUUUUCUCUUCUCUCUUACAAGGACGCCGAGUUAUAAACCGAACUCUCCAGAAAUUGAAUCAUUCCCAAGUCUUCCCAGGUGAGGUAGCUUGGUCUCUCUAUAGAAAUUUGGGAUUCCCCCUGGAUCUCAUUAAAUUGAUGCUUGAAGAAAAAGGAGUACAGCUAGACAUUGCUACUUUUGAUCAUCUGGCUCAGGAACAUGCUGAACACAAUGCUAAGUUGCAACAGCAACAGCAACCACAGAGUCCUGGGAAGCAGCUGGAUGUGCUUUCAUUGGCCCAAUUGCAGGAGCGGAAUGUGCCUAUUACUGAUGAUUCCCCCAAGUAUGACUAUAAACUUGAACAAGAUGGGAAAUAUGUGUUUAAGCCAUGCCAAGCCACCGUCUUAGCACUCUAUAGAAAUCAGACUCUUCAAGAGGAAAUUUCAGGAAAACAGCACUGUGGGGUCCUGUUAAACAAGACUUGUUUCUACGCUGAACAGGGUGGUCAGGCAUCUGAUCAAGGCUAUAUGUUGUGUGACAGACAGCAGGAUGUACUUUUCCCUGUUGAAUCAGUACAAGUAUUUGGUGGCUAUGUAAUCCAUGAAGUCUUCGUUUCAGAAACCCUGAAGGUUGGGGACCAAGUACAACUCUUUGUGGAUGAGGCUCAGAGGCUAGCCUCCAUGAGGAACCACACAGCUACCCACUUGUUAAACUUUGCACUCCGCCAAGUCUUGGGAGACUGCACAGAACAGCAGGGAUCCAGUGUGACUGCUGAGCAUCUGCGAUUUUUUGUCAACACCAAGGUUCCCAUAAAAACAGAAAAUCUGCAAGAGGUAGAAAGUGUGGUCCAAGAGAUGAUCAAAAGGAAUGAAACUGUCUAUACACGAAAAGCUCCCCUUAAUCAGACCAGUGAUGUUCUAGGACUCCGGAAACUGGAUACGGUGUAUCCCGAUCUGGUUCGUAUUGUGUCAGUAGGUGUCCCAGUUGAAAAAGUCUUGGCUGAGGGUUCCAAACAUGCAGUGAAUACCUCUGUGGAACUGUGCUGUGGAGUACACCUUCUGCAAACAGGAGAUGUACAAGAUUUCACCAUCAUCUCAGAGCAGCAGAUGGCUAAAGGAAUCAGCCAUAUUGUUGCAGUGACAGGAGAGCAAGCCAGACAAGCUCAGGAUAUUGGCCAGUUCUUGGCCACAGAGGUGGAUUCCCUUGCUACCCGAGUGAAAGUGGGAGGAGCCUCAGUCAGUGAAGCGUGGCGAAUCUCCAAGGAAGUUGGUCAUCUGACUGAUAGGGUGGAUACUACCAAGAUGCCUCAGUGGCAGAAAAGAAAACUGCAGGCUUCUCUCAAAACACUGCAGCAAGCAGCCAAUAAUGCCCAUAGGAAAAUGGAAAUCAGACUGGCUGCAGAGAAGGUGCAGGACUUGCUGACAAAGUAUUCCAAUGAGCCAGUCAUUAUUGACACUAUUCCUGCUGAGACACCCUAUAUCUUGAUGAAAGCAGUCAAUCAACUGUGUAACAAAGUACCAGGGGCUUCUGUGAUGUUGUUUAGCUCACCAGUACCAGGCCAGGUGUUUUGCGCUUGCCAGAUAUCCAAGAGUUCAUUAUCAAAGGCUUCGGCAGCUGACUGGGCUCUCGCUGUUUGUACUCAAAUGGGAGGCAAAGCAGAAGGUUCUGGAAUUGUAGCUAAAGGCAUGGCGAAGACUGAUGAUGUACAGAUGAUAUUGGCAGCAGCCCAGGAAUAUGCAAAGAAUGUAUUUUGAUGCUUGAUUGUGAGGAAUCUGGAUGUUCAUUUGAAUGAUUGUGAAUCCCUAUCAACUUUGUACAAUAUGGUCCUGCAAUCCUGUGGAUUCUUCUGGAUUAUUGAAUUGGUAGAAUGAGCUGCUUUGGCUAGCCGAUGUAUAUAAAAUAACUUCUUUCAUGAAAUACAAUUUGCACAUGAUGUUAAGAAGAACAACAAAGAUUAUCCUUUGACCAGCCACAUAAGCACAAGGCAAGCCAACCAUACAGAUUUUCAAAUGGCAACAGACCUACCUGGAGCUCUUUGUGCACUUGCCACAGAUCUCUUAAGCCAGUGUUUUUGAAAGGCAGCCCAAUAUGGCAUUAGUAUGCUGGAGACUGAAUCCUUCAGACUGUCAAAUAAACUUGGAGGUGGAAUCUCCUUCUGGAGGGCCUGCUCAGCUGCCCGGAUAGCUCUGCCCAGCCUCUUAUUAUCCACUGCCACCUGCGGGGCAAUCCAAAGACAUUUAACAUUCUGCACGACAAGAUGAUCCCUGGAACUAUAGCUCCUUCUACCUUUUCUUCUCCAAUCACACAAUAAGACCCAGAUAUAAUUAUCUGGAGGUCAACUGUAUGAUCUUCCCUUAUUUUCCUGCAAUUUUGAUCUCUGUUGGGAUGGAAUCUGGUUUCACUGUUAAAAUUACGGUACUAAAGCAGCAGUAAAUGAUCAGCCAGGACAUUCUCUAGAUAAAAGAAGCUGAAAUAAAUUUAGCUAAUGGGAGGUAGAUGAUGGCAUUUUAUUAUUUUAGCAUUGCUUCUUUGGGAGGGAAUACUGACUACUAGAUUGUUAGGCUUCUCAAGGCUUCCUAGGAAAUUUUCUCUGAAGUUCUUGAUGCUAUUGUUUUGACUCCUUGUCAAAUUCCUGGGCAAGUUAUAGUAUCAGUGAUGCUAGUUUCUUUCACAGAUGCUUAUGUGACUACCAUUUAUUUGUUAA